GACGAACGCUGGCGGCGUGCUUAACACAUGCAAGUCGAACGGAAAGGCCCUGCUUGCAGGGUCCUCGAGUGGCGAACGGGUGAGUAACACGUGGGUGAUCUGCCCUGCACUUCGGGAUAAGCCUGGGAAACUGGGUCUAAUACCGGAUAGGAGCCAUUUUUAGUGUGAUGGUUGGAAAGUUUUUUCGGUGUAGGAUGAGCUCGCGGCCUAUCAGCUUGUUGGUGGGGUAAUGGCCUACCAAGGCGGCGACGGGUAGCCGGCCUGAGAGGGUGGACGGCCACAUUGGGACUGAGAUACGGCCCAGACUCCUACGGGAGGCAGCAGUGGGGAAGAUUGCACGAUGGGCGCAAGCCUGAUGCAGCGACGCCGCGUGGGGGAUGACGGCCUUCGGGUUGUAAACUCCUUUCGCUAGGGACGAAGCUUUUUGUGACGGUACCUAGAUAAGAAGCACCGGCUAACUACGUG
rnacentral:rRNA from 1 species